rnacentral:rRNA from 1 species
UACAGAGGGUGCGAGCGUUAAUCGGAAUGACUGGCGUAAAGGGUGCGUAGGUGGUGAGAUAAGAUGAAUGUGAAAUCCCUGGGCUUAACCUAGGAAUGGCAUUGAUGACUGUCUCGCUAGAGUAUUGUAGAGGGUAGUGGAAUUUCCGGUGUAGCGGUGAAAUGCGUAGAGAUCGGAAGGAACAUCAGUGGCGAAGGCGGCUACCUGGACAAAUACUGACACUGAGGCACGAGAGCGUGGGGAGCAAACAGG